rnacentral:rRNA from 1 species
GGAGUCUAACAUGUGCGCGAGUCAUUGGGUAGGCACUAAACCCAGAGGCGCAAUGAAAGUGAAGGCCGGUUCGAGGUGGACGGCCGAGGGAAGAUGGUACCAGGCGAAGUCUCCUGGGGUCCGCUCCAAGCGUUCCCCGGCGCCAGGCCCGCAUUCCCGGGGCGUCUCGUCCUCACUGCGAGGGGAGGCGCACCCAGAGCGCACACGUUGGGACCCGAAAGAUGGUGAACUAUGCCCGGCCAGGACGAAGUCAGGGGAAACCCUGAUGGAGGUCCGUAGCGAUUCUGACGUGCAAAUCGAUCGUCGGAGCUGGGUAUAGGGGCGAAAGACUAAUCGAACCAUCUAGUAGCUGGUUCCCUCCGAAGUUUCCCUCAGGAUAGCUGGCACUCGGAGGAGAGACGAGUCUCAUACGGUAAAGCGAAUGAUUAGGGGCCUUGGGGCCGAAACGACCUCAACCCAUUCUCAAACUUUAAAUGGGUGAGACCUCCGGCUUGCUUGUGGGAUGAAGCCGGAGGCGGAUCCGAAGUGCCAAGUGGGCCACUUUUG